AUGCCAAAGGCUCCUCCAGCCCUCACCAGGCCUCCUCCUCUAGUUCUCCAGGUCUCAGGUCAGUGUUGCUGCCCUGGUGGAAGCCCAGCUCGUGGUGGAGGAAGCCAGCUUGCAGAGAGAGCGAGAGCAGAGCCAGCACACACAUUGGAGCAAAGGCAAGGGCAAAUGGAAAGUUCUGGCGGCAUCACGUCAAGGCUCCCAUCCGAGGCCUCCCUGAACCCCACUCUCUCCAGGUGUAACCUGCUUGCUGAGCACCACCUUGGAUGCUGCGGGCUGGUACAUUCCCCACUUGCAAAACUCUGCGGGACUGGGUUCCUCUCUUUUCUUUCCAAAUAUCUCAGGAAGUGGAUGGUUUUUUCCAAAUUCUGCAGAUGAGUAAAAAGAGUCUUCGGGAGGUGCAAUAGCUUUCCAGGGAUGAGGUAACUGGGAGCAGAGCUGGUGUUCAAACCCGGUCUGCUCAACUCAAAAUCCACAGCAUUUCCCUGCCCUGAAAUGACCCACAUCUGCACUGCUUGCCCACAUCUGCACUGCUUGCCCACAUCUGCACUGCUGGUCUUUGGCUGUUCGAGUAUCAGCUCCCUGAGCACAGAACCUGGCUGUCCCUGCCGUCCCCAGCUCCUGGAGCAGGGCCCAAGUGGAGCAGCAUUUGCUGUCUGUGCAGAGGCAGACCCUGGGAUAUGGGGACGUGAGCGAGGCUCUGUAAGUCAGGUGUCCCCAUCCACGGCGAUGCUGAGUGGGUGGCACCCUGCUCCUUCACUGCCUCUAGACAUGGGGGUGGGGGGAUGGGAGGACACAGGUGGAUUUGAGUGCCUCUUGCAGGGGAAGGUGAUGUAGAAACUCUGGGUUCCUCCCGUUCUAUGGCCACCUUCUCCAGGAAGCCUUCCUGACUACCCAGACAGCACUGAGUCUUCCUGACACUCUGACUGACUCUUUUAAAUUCUCACCACGCAGCAUCCCCUUGUGAUUCUGCUUUUCUUUCAGUCUGUGGCUUGUCACUCCCAAUCAUCUGCCUCUCCCACAGAAACAUGUUGCAUAGUUUCAGGAUCCCCCAGGCAUGUCACCUUCAGCCCAACAUUGGUAACCUUGGCUGUGCUGGCCCUUGGGGACCAUCACUCCAGCCUUAGCAGACCCUGACCCAGCUGUCCAACUCAGCCACUGAGUCAGGUGCAGCAGCAGGUGUGUGGCUGGUGGCUUUGGCCUUCUUUUCUGGCCAGAGUGCACCAUGUCUCCAGCCACAGUGGGUUUCCUUGGUCCAUGGAAGCUGGCCUCUGCCUCGGGGCUCUGAUUCAUUCCCUGUUCUCCCACUGGGCUGCAAUCCUGUCUUGACAUCCAGCCUAAUCUUUGCCCACCUCCACACUCUCCCCAGCUCAGCUGCACUCCGACCAGUGGCUGCAGAAGCCCUGAGUCAAAUAACUACGGACUCAAAGCCCCACUACCUGCCACUCUGGCCACCAACUGCCACCACCUCAGAAUUCCUUUGCCCUGCACUUCCUCUGAGCCCUUAGAUCUGGGACAUGGCCCAGACCAAGUCCCUGGAAUAGACCCACUGGCUCAGAGAGCAUCUAGCCCCAGCUGCCGGACACCUACAUGGACCCAAUUGCACCCCACCCCCAAUGCCCAAAACAAGCCCUUUCGAGCCACCUCCAAGGG
rnacentral:lncRNA from 1 species